rnacentral:lncRNA from 1 species
UGGGACUGUAUGUUGGACUUGAAGGUGAAUAAGAUGGAGAUGUGGGUGAGUAUGAUGGAGAUGUCGGGCUGCAGAGUAAAUUUUUAAUAAGAGUUAACGAUUAGAGAAGAUGACACAAUAUCACCACAACAGAUAAGAGAAGCUUCAUAGAAAGUGUAAAAAUUAAGAUAUUACUACUUACCUGUAGUUGGGAGAUGUAGGACUGUAGGGGCUAGCUGGUGAUAGUCUUGCAUUGCUAGGAGAGUAAGCUAUAGAUGGGCUAUAUUUAGCAGACUGAGGGUUGUAGCUUGGAGACGUAGGACCGUAGCUUGGUGAUGUUGGACUGUAACUUGGUGAAGUAGGGCUGUAGCCAGGAGAUGUGGGGCUAUAUGCGGGUGAAGUAGGGCUGUAAGACGGAGAUGUUGGGCUGUAAGAUGGUGAAGUAGGGCUGUAAGAAGGCGAUGUUGGGCUGUAAGAAGGUGAAGUUGGGCUGUAAGAAGGAGAGGUUGGGCUGUAUGCUGGUGAAGUUGGGCUGUAAGCAGGUGAAGUCGGGCUGUAAGCAGGCGAAGUCGGGCUGUAACUUGGGGAAGUAGGACUGUAGCUCGGAGAUGUCGGGCUGUAGCUUGGCGACGUUGGGCUAUAGCUUGGAGACGUUGGGCUGUAGCUCGGAGAGGUAGGAGAAUAGGAAGGACUUGUAGGAGAAUAAGCAGGGCUUGUUGGGCUAUAGCCAGGAGAAC